rnacentral:rRNA from 1 species
GAUAAACGCUGGCGGCGCACAUAAGACAUGCAAGUCGAACGGACUUAACUCAUUCUUUUAGAUUGAGAGCGGUUAGUGGCGGACUGGUGAGUAACACGUAAGCAACCUGCCUAUCAGAGGGGAAUAACAGUGAGAAAUCAUUGCUAAUACCGCAUAAGCUAGUAGCAUCGCGUGAUGUAGCUAGAAAAGGAGUAAUCCGCUGAUAGAUGGGCUUGCGUCUGAUUAGCUAGUUGGUGGGGCAACGGCCUACCAAGGCAACGAUCAGUAGCCGGACUGAGAGGUUGAACGGCCACAUUGGGACUGAGAUACGGCCCAGACUCCUACGGGAGGCAACAGUCGGGAAUAUUGCGCAAUGGAGGAAACUCUGGCGCAGUGACGCCGCGUAUAGGAAGAAGGUUUUCGGAUUGUAAACUAUUGUCGUGAGGGAAGAAAUUGACAGUACCUCAGGAGGAAGCUCCGGCUAACUAUGUGCCAGCCGCCGCCGUAA